UGCAGAAACGUUAUUGAGUGCAGCGUUGAUGAAAUCACUUCCCAUUUCUAUGGCCCUUCCUCUUCUUUUCCCCAUCUGAGUCUGGGGGAAUAAUGGAAUGGGAUCGUUUCACCAACGCUGCACUCAAAAAUGUUUCUA
rfam:Eucalyptus grandis cultivar BRASTZ1 unplaced genomic scaffold scaffold_7, whole genome shotgun sequence.